rnacentral:rRNA from 2 species
UAGGGAAUUUUUCACAAUGGGCGCAAGCCUUAUGAAGCAAUGCCGCGUGAACGAUGAAGGUCUUAUAGAUUGUAAAGUUCUUUUAUAUGGGAAGAAACGCUAAAAUAGGAAAUGAUUUUAGUUUGACUGUACCAUUUGAAUAAGUAUCGGCUAACUAUGUGCCAGCAGCCGCGGUAAUACAUAGGAUGCAAGCGUUAUCCGGAUUUACUGGGCGUAAAACGAGCGCAGGCGGGUUUGUAAGUUUGGUAUUAAAUCUAGAUGCUUAACGUCUAGCUGUAUCAAAAACUGUAAACCUAGAGUGUAGUAGGGAGUUGGGGAACUCCAUGUGGAGCGGUAAAAUGCGUAGAUAUAUGGAAGAACACCGGUGGCGAAGGCGCCAACUUGGACUAUCACUGACGCUUAGGCUCGAAAGUGUGGGGAGCAAAUAGGAUUAGAUACCCUAGUAGUCCACACCGUAAACGAUCAUCAUUAAAUGUCGGCCCGAAUGGGUCGGUGUUGUAGCUAACGCAUUAAAUGAUGUGCCUGGGUAGUACAUUCGCAAGAAUGAAACUCAAACGGAAUUGACGGGGACCCGCACAAGUGGUGGAGCAUGUUGCUUAAUUUGACAAUACACGUAGAACCUUACCUAGGUUUGACAUCUAUUGCGAUGCUAUAGAAAUAUAGUUGAGGUUAACAAUAUGACAGGUGGUGCAUGGUUGUCGUCAGCUCGUGUCGUGAGAUGUUGGGUUAAGUCCCGCAACGAGCGCAACCCCUUUCGUUAGUUACUUUUCUAGCGAUACUGCUACCGCAAGGUAGAGGAAGGUGGGGAUGACGUCAAAUCAUCAUGCCCCUUAUAUCUAGGGCUGCAAACGUGCUACAAUGGCUAAUACAAACUGCUGCAAAAUCGUAAGAUGAAGCGAAACAGAAAAAGUUAGUCUCAGUUCGGAUAGAGGGCUGCAAUUCGUCCUCUUGAAGUUGGAAUCACUAGUAAUCGCGAAUCAGACAUGUCGCGGUGAAUACGUUCUCGGGUC